rnacentral:rRNA from 1 species
UACAGAGGGUGCAAGCGUUGUUCGGAAUUAUUAGGCGUAAAGGGCGCGUAGGCGGUGCCACAAGUCACCUGUGAAAUCUCCGGGCUUAACUCGGAGCCUGCAGGCGAAACUGUGGUGCUGGAGUGUGGGAGAGGUGCGUGGAAUUCCGGUGUAGCGGUGAAAUGCGUAGAUAUUGGGAGGAACACCAGUGGCGAAGGCGGCUCACUGGACCGGUACUGACGCUGAUGCGCGAAAGCGUGGGGAGCAAACGGGG